UGAGUGCUUGUAAGGGUUGUCUCCUAAACCCGAUAAAAGGAGAAGAGGGGUGUAAGAAGGAGUUUGAUCUUCGCCUAUCAAAGGAAGAUCGUUAGUAGAUGCCAGUGGCCUCGACGGAAGAGGAAUCAGAGGAGUGGAUGUAGGUCAUGACGAUCGAACCACUAUAAACUAUCGUGUUCUCUAGUUUACAUUUUAUUCUUGCUGUUACCUUACUACAAACCUCGUUAAGUGCAUACUACCUUCAAUUUAUUAUGUAUGCUUUCAAGUUAAGUUUCUGAAAUUGGUUUUUCGUCGGAAACGAUUUUUAUCGUACGAAGUUUUUCAAACCAACGUAGUUUUUACAUCAUUUUCAGAUGUCAAGCCUUGAAAAUGGAUAUCAAGCCUUGACAUCAUUUUCAGAAAGAUACAUCAUGAUAGGAAUCAUGAUAGGGGUAUUGAUAAGUUUAAAUGAACUUAACUUAUCAAUAUGUCUCUUGAAUUCAAAGGCUUUGAAUUCAAGAAUGACUUAUCUCAAGUAUGGCAUAUAGAUAGGGGGAGUUAAGGUUAACUCCGUCAUCAAUUGAUUAUCAUCAUCAAAAAGGGGGAGAUUGUUGAAUCUCGAAUUUUGAUUAUAAAAUCAAUUAUCAUUUGGUUAUCUAAUCCAUAUGUUUGUAUAAGUGUGUAGGAUUAACUUCGAUGGCAGUAAAACAUACAGCAGGUGUUAAGUCGGAGUCAAGACCAAGAUCACAUUGGGGGUUCGAGAGUUCAUCGGAAGUCCGGACGAUCAUCGGAGGUUCUGAGGGAAUAAUUCGAGAAGUCUAGGAGCUUGCCAAAGAAGCUCAUCGGAACUUGCCAAGAGGAUCAUCGCAAGUCCAGGAGUUUGCCGGGAGUGCGCUGGAGCAUCGCCGAGGGUUCAUCGGAUGUUUGCUGGAACUUCGCCGGAAGCUCACCGAAAGAAGCGAUUGACACACCAGAACACGAUCUGCAGUAUUGAUGUCUUAAAUUGUUAUAGUUAGCAUGUAGAUUAAGUUAGGAUUGGGAGGUGAUCCCAUUAACUUAAUCUGGGGCCAAUUGGGCACUUGGAAAACCCAAAUUGGGCUGAAUAGAUCAGCUUAUUCGGACCUAGAAUUCCUGGCCGACGGUGGCACCGCCUAGGAGACUCGAUCUCCCAAGAGUUCUUGGCGGUAGUACUGCCCCUGUCAGGCGGUGGUAGCGCCCUUGUCAAGUGGUGAUAUCGCCUAAGCUCGGUCUCCGAGCAAUGUCAAGCGGUAGUACCGCUCAGAUUGAGCGGUAGUACUGCUCAGUGACAGAUGAUAGGCAGUAGUACCGCCCAAUUAUGGUAGUGGUACCGUCAAGACCCCGAAAAUCCAAGAAUGGACACUUUUAAGCUCCGAAUUCAAAAUGAUUGGGGCCUAUAUAAACCCCACCCUUUCCUGCAUGAAAGGGCAGUGAAAGCUUACUUUUAUUCUAAGUAUUUGAGAGCUUAAAAGUGUUGUAAAAGGCUAGAGUUCCUCUCCCUAUUUUCUUUCUAAGUCUUGACCAUUCAGGAGAGGAGUGAAAACUUGUAAAGGUUGUCUCCUAAACCCAGUAAAAGGAGAAGAGGGGUGUAAGAAGGAGUUUGAUCUUCACCUAUCAAAGGAAGAUCGUUAAUGGAUGGUGGUGGCCUCGACGGAAGAGGAAUCGGAGGAGUGGAUUUAGGUCACGACGACCAAACCACUAUAAACUGCCGUGUCCUCUAGUUUGCAUUUUAUUCUUGCUAUUAUCUUACU
rnacentral:lncRNA from 1 species